UUUAUGUUUUGAUUCUGCUCAGGAUGACCGCUAGCGGCAGGCCUAAUACAUGCAAGUCGGACGGGAUCCAUCGAGAGCUUGCUCGAAGAUGUGAGAGUGGCGCACGGGUGCGUAACGCGUGAGCAACCUCCUCUAUCAGGGGGAUAGCCUCUCGAAAAGAGAGAUUAACACCGCAUAACAUCAACAGUUGGCAUGUUCGGUUGAUAAAAUAUUUAUAGGAUAGAGAUGGGCUCGCGUGACAUUAGCUAGUUGGUAGGGUAACGGCUUACCAAGGCGACGAUGUCUAGGGGCUCUGAGAGGAGAAUCCCCCCACACUGGUACUGAGACACGGACCAGACUCCUACGGGAGGCAGCAGUAAGGAAUAUUGGUCAAUGGGCGGAAGCCUGAACCAGCCAUGCCGCGUGCAGGAUGACUGCCCUAUGGGUUGUAAACUGCUUUUGUCCAGGAAUAAACCUAAAUACGUGUAUUUAGCUGAAUGUACUGGAAGAAUAAGGAUCGGCUAACUCCGUGCCAGCAGCCGCGGUAAUACGGAGGAUCCGAGCGUUAUCCGGAUUUAUUGGGUUUAAAGGGUGCGUAGGCGGCCUAUUAAGUCAGGGGUGAAAUACGGUGGCUCAACCAUCGCAGUGCCUUUGAUACUGAUGGGCUUGAAUCCAUUUGAAGUGGGCGGAAUAAGACAAGUAGCGGUGAAAUGCAUAGAUAUGUCUUAGAACUCCGAUUGCGAAGGCAGCUCACUAAGCUGGUAUUGACGCUGAUGCACGAAAGGCCUUAC
rnacentral:rRNA from 1 species